rnacentral:rRNA from 1 species
AUGAAUCUAAUCAGCUGGAACUGUCGGGGAGGGGGGAAACCCCGGACAGUUCGCGAACUAGCAACUUUGCUUAAGUCGUAUUCCCCCAGUUUUGUGUUCUUGUGUGGAACUAGACAGAAGGUAGCUAAGAUGAGAAGAAUACGCCGAAGGCUGGGACUUAAAGGUUUCGCGGGCGUAGAUUGUAUUGGUAUGAGGGGAGGUCUAUCCUUGUACUGGCAGGAGUCUUGCAUAGUUGAUAUAAUUGACAAAGAAGACCGGUAUAUUCAUGCUUUUGUCAGAUUACAUGAAGGGGCCGAGCAGUGGAGAGUCACUUUUGUCUAUGGUGAGCUUCGAGUUGAAAACUGUCAUCUCAUGUGGUCGAAAUUACUUAACUUGAAAGGAAUCAGUGAUCUCCCAUGA